rnacentral:misc_RNA from 1 species
CGCACAUUGCGCCUGUUAGUAUUCUGAUAGGCAUGCCUGUUCGAGCGUCAUUUCAACCCUCAGGCCCAGCCUGGCGUUGGGGCCCCGCACCUGCGGACCCCGAAAUACAGUGGCGGGCUUGCUAUAAGCUUCAGCGCAGUAAUUUUCUUCGCUGGGAGUCUUUAGCGGGUUCUUGCCAUUAAACCCCCAUAUUUUGUACUGAUUGACCUCGGAUCAGGUAGGAAUACCCGCUGAACUUAA